rnacentral:lncRNA from 1 species
UGGUUCAGAGUGGGUUUGUUGUGGUUCAUAGUGGGUUGGUUGUGGUUCAGAUGGUGCUUGAGGUGGUUCAGAUGUGGUUGGAUUUGAAUUUCUGGAGGUGGGGAAGUGACUUAUGUUUCAGGUUCAGGUUGUGAUGGUUGUUGAGAGGUUAGAGCACAGGCUUGGAGCUGAGCCAGAGUGGGGGAUUGAGGGUCAGAUGGUUCGGUAUCAAAGGAGAGUUCGUAGUAAGGUGGGGAUUGAGGAUAUGGUGAUGAUGAUGGUGAGGUGGUU